rnacentral:rRNA from 1 species
UACGUAGGGGGCAAGCGUUGUCCGGAAUCAUUGGGCGUAAAGAGCGUGUAGGCGGCUUCGUAAGUCCGUUGUGAAAGUCCAGGGCUCAACCCUGGAAUGCCGAUGGAUACUGCGGAGCUAGAGUACGGAAGAGGCGAGUGGAAUUCCUGGUGUAGCGGUGAAAUGCGCAGAUAUCAGGAGGAACACCUAUGGCGAAGGCAGCUCGCUGGGACGUUACUGACGCUGAGACGCGAAAGCGUGGGGAGCAAACAGGAUUAGAUACCCUGGUAGUCCACGCCGUAAACGAUGGGCACUAGGUGUGGGGGGUGUCGACUCCCUCCGUGCCGAAGCUAACGCAUUAAGUGCCCCGCCUGGGGAGUACGGCCGCAAGGCUAAA